ensembl:lncRNA
CAUGGAUCAAGGUAUUAUCUGUGUCUAGACACCCUGCAUUAAGAGCCGAGAGUAUGAAUAUGUGGCUGUCACUCUCUUAAGUCUUACAGGAUGGCAGAGUACUCUUUAUUUUGCGGAAGUCCUCACUGACCAGAUUCUGUCUCCACAGAACUUAGUCAGGAAGAACAGGUUCCACCAAGCAUCAGUCGAGACAAGGCCACCUUCUGAAUUCUCAUCCCAAAGCUGGCAGCCCUCUCUGCUGACUUUCUCUCCUCAGCUCAUCUGUCCCAUGCCUUCCUCCCCCAUCACCGUAAUUAUGGCUGAAUUACUUAGCAGCCCCAUUUUGAAUUGCAAUCCUGUACACCUGAGGAAAAAAGACAGACUCCAGGCCUGGGGUGGAAAGUAAUUCCUGCCUCAGGGUUGGCCUGGGUAGUCCUGAUUCGCUCAUUAAUCAAGGUUUCUCAAUCUCCGCUCGGUUGACACUUUAGCCCAGGCAAUUAUCCUCGGGCUCACCGAUGUAUGGCACAGUAGCUGCAGCCCCAGCCUUCAUGCGCUACACACUAAUAAUGUGACUCUGCUCUCCUCAGGCAGUAUAAAAAAUAUCUCUGCACACACUGCCAGCGUCCUCCAGAGAGGCAAAGAUCAUCCCUGCCUGAGGCCCCUGGGCCAGAAAGAAUAGGAUUCUCUCAUUAUUCUCCAGAACUUUCUGCCUGGUGCUCCGCGGGACUGGGAGUAUGUAAGUCAGUAAGCAGCUGCAGUAGGACAAUGUUGGUGAGCUGGAGGACAAAGCCAGAUUCCAGAGCCUGAUCCACACUGGCCUGAGCAGUACCCAGCGUUGAAGCCAAAGUCCCUUGGCCCUUCUCUCUCAGAGAUCUGAAGUGAGGCCUAGAGGUGAUAAAUCAGGCCCAGCAUAUGGAAGUAACCAGAGUUUAUUUAUCACAUAACUGGAGUUACAGACAAUUGUAAGCUGCCAUGGGAGUGCUGGGAAUUGAACCCAAGUCCUCUGGAAGAUCAGUCCAUGCUCAUAUCCACUGAGCCAUCUCUCCAGCCCCUUGUCAUAGACCUUAAUGACCUUCAGCACAAGACUGGGACUGUUGAGGCAUACAGCGUCACUGAGCAGAUUCUGGGCUUGUCGUCUCUCCAGGGUACAGUCUUCAACUUACUUCCCUGUCCUAGACGUAAGCCAAUCUAGUGAAUUUUCUUUAAUCACACACACACACACACACACACACACACACACACACACACACACACACGUCCAUUCUUUCCCUCUGGAGAACCUUCAAUAUUAUCAUUUGUAUUUGGAGCUACUUAGCCUGAAGGUCUGCUGUACAGCAAUGUGUUUUGUGGACUUCACCACACCCCAGGAGAGUGGAAAACAUGCCCAAAGCCCAGACAUCACUUGCUUGUGAUCUCUUUAUCUGAAGAAAUGGUAUCAGAAAUGAUUACUCACUAAGGUGUUGCUUUAUCCAAGACAGAGGUAUGUUAUUAUGCCCACUCAAGCUUCCCACCCAACAAACGUGCAUGACCACGACUUUGUUAUAUAAACCUCCAAUUACAACUGUCUUUGAGUGUGUGCUUUAUUGUACAGAGAGACGGUAUUUCUUUAUUUUCUCAGAUAAAAGCAAGCUGGGAAAUGUUGCCUCUGUGACUUGGUAUUCAACAUGCUCAGAUGAGAUGUGGGCUGGGAAAGGAAGGGUUCAGUUCAUCACAGAUGAGGUAUUUUAAGGCUGUCUAUUAAACGGUCAUUGACAUUUGUAGAUUUGAAUCCAGUUUCAAUAAACAGACUGAUGGUUCUAUUACUAUGUUGUCACAUCUGUGCAGUGGACUGUGACAGGAUACAGCACUGGGCUGAUCCACCAGGACAUGAGAUUUCUUUGCACACUUAAGACAUCUUAUUUGCUAACUUCCAUGUCUUGGGGCCUUGCUGAGCCUUACUUUCUGAUCCUCUCUGCUUUGACUGGAGUGCACUUUAUUAUUGUUGUUGUU